rnacentral:rRNA from 1 species
UGGGCGCAAGCCUGAUGCAGCGACGCCGCGUGGGGGAUGACGGCCUUCGGGUUGUAAACCUCUUUCGACAGGGACGAAGCUUUUUGUGACGGUACCUGUAUAAGAAGCACCGGCUAACUACGUGCCAGCAGCCGCGGUAAUACGUAGGGUGCGAGCGUUGUCCGGAAUUACUGGGCGUAAAGAGCUCGUAGGUGGUUUGUCGCGUCGUCUGUGAAAUUCCGGGGCUUAACUCCGGGCGUGCAGGCGAUACGGGCAAUACUUGAGUGCUGUAGGGGAGACUGGAAUUCCUGGUGUAGCGGUGAAAUGCGCAGAUAUCAGGAGGAACACCAAUGGCGAAGGCAGGUCUCUGGGCAGUAACUGACGCUGAGGAGCGAAAGCAUGGGUAGCGAACAGGAUUAGAUACCCUGGUAGUCCAUGCCGUAAACGGUGGGCGCUAGGUGUAGGGGUCUUCCACGACUUCUGUGCCGUAGCUAACGCAUUAAGCGCCCCGCCUGGGGAGUACGGCCGCAAGGCUAAA